GACGAACGCUGGCGGCGUGCUUAACACAUGCAAGUCGAACGGAAAGGCCCUGCGUUUGUGGGGUGCUCGAGUGGCGAACGGGUGAGUAACACGUGAGUAGCCUGCCCUUGACUUUGGGAUAACUUCAGGAAACUGGGGCUAAUACAGGAUAGGAGCUCCUGCUGCAUGGUGGGGGUGGGAAAGUUUCGGCGGUUGGGGAUGGACUCGCGGCUUAUCAGCUUGUUGGUGGGGUAGUGGCUUACCAAGGCUUUGACGGGUAGCCGGCCUGAGAGGGUGACCGGCCACAUUGGGACUGAGAUACGGCCCAGACUCCUACGGGAGGCAGAAGUGGGGAAUAUUGCACAAUGGGCGGAAGCCGGAUGCAGCAACGCCGCGUGCGGGAUGACGGUCUUCGGGUUGUAAACCGCUUUCGCCUGUGACGAAGCGUGAGUGACGGUAAUGGGUAAAGAAGCACCGGCUAACUACGUG
rnacentral:rRNA from 1 species